rnacentral:rRNA from 1 species
GACGAACGCUGGCGGCGUGCCUAAUACAUGCAAGUAGAACGCACAGUUUAUACCGUAGCUUGCUACACCAUAAACUGUGAGUUGCGAUCGGGUGAGUAACGCGUAGGUAACCUGCCUGGUAGCGGGGGAUAACUAUUGGAAACGAUAGCUAAUACCGCAUAAUAUUGAUUAUUGCAUGAUAAUUGAUUGAAAGAUGCUAUUGCAUCACUACCAGAUGGACCUGCGUUGUAUUAGCUAGUAGGUGAGGUAACGGCUCACCUAGGCGACGAUACAUAGCCGACCUGAGAGGGUGAUCUGCCACACUGGGACUGAGACACGGCCCAGACUCCUACGGGAGGCAGCAGUAGGGAAUCUUCGGCAAUAGACGAAAGUCUGACCGAGCAACGCCGCGUGAGUGAAGAAGGUUUUCGGAUCGUAAAGCUCUGUUGUAAGAGAAGAACGGGUGUGAGAGUGGAAAGUUCACACUGUGACGGUAUCUUACCAGAAAGGGACGGCUAACUACGUG